rfam:Oryza meridionalis cultivar OR44 (W2112) chromosome 10, whole genome shotgun sequence.
AAUGUAUGACGCCGUUAACUUUUUGUCCAACGUUUAACUAUUCGUCUUAUUAAAAAAAUUUAUGUAAUUAAUAUUUAUUUUAUUGUGACUUGAUUCGUCAUCAAAUGUUCUUUAGGCAUGACAUAAAUAUUUUCAUAUUUGCACAGAAAAUUUGAAUAAAACGAAUGGUUAAACGUUGGUUAAAAAGUCAACGGCGUCAUAUAUU